GGGCCCGCACAAGCGGUGGAGUAUGUGGUUUAAUUCGAUGCAACGCGAAGAACCUUACCAGGGUUUGACAUCCUGCGAAUCUCUUGGAAACGAGAGUGUGCCUUUUGGAACCAAGAUACAGGUGCUGCAUGGCUGUCGUCAGCUCGUGUCGUGAGAUGUUCCGUUAAGUCGGAUAACGAGCGCAACCCUUACCCUUAUUUGCCAGCGAUUCGGUCGGGAACUAUAAGGGGACUGCCGGUGAUAAACCGGAGGAAGGUGAGGACGACGUCAAGUCAUCAUGGCCCUUACGAGUAGGGCUACACACGUGCUACAAUGGGGAAUACAGACGGACGCUAAGCCGCGAGGUGGUG
rnacentral:rRNA from 1 species